AGGAACCUUACCAGCCGAGUUACGCUCAGUUCUCAUCUGCAGAGCGAUCUGAAACUGUGUUGCACACUUUUGCAGAUUGCAGCUGCAGCAAGGCUUCCAACGGCGGAAGGUAACGGCAUCUGGUUGCUGAUCGACGCAUGCCGUGUGAAGGUACAAGGACCUCAGGUGAAUGGAACUGGUUGGAGCGGGGCGCCGCUCCGGCGAGCGGUGGCAUGACCGCAUGGUGCGUUUCUU
rnacentral:lncRNA from 1 species